AUCUACGGCCAUACCACCCUGAACGCGGCUGAUUUCAUCUAAUCUCGGAAGCUAAGCAGGGUCAGGCCUGGUUAGUACUUGGAUGGGAAACCGCCUGGCAGUAUCAGGUGCUGUAGGCU
ensembl:rRNA 5S_rRNA 5S ribosomal RNA